CGCGGGGUGGAGCAGCACGGUAGCUCGUCGGGCUCAUAACCCGAAGGUCGCAGGUUCAAAUCCUGUCCCCGCAA
rfam:Bacillus anthracis str. 'Ames Ancestor', complete genome.